rnacentral:rRNA from 1 species
UAGCUUGCUACCUGACCUAGCGGCGGACGGGUGAGUAAUGCUUAGGAAUCUGCCUAUUAGUGGGGGACAACAUUCCGAAAGGAAUGCUAAUACCGCAUACGCCCUACGGGGGAAAGCAGGGGAUCUUCGGACCUUGCGCUAAUAGAUGAGCCUAAGUCAGAUUAGCUAGUUGGUGGGGUAAAGGCCUACCAAGGCGACGAUCUGUAGCGGGUCUGAGAGGAUGAUCCGCCACACUGGGACUGAGACACGGCCCAGACUCCUACGGGAGGCAGCAGUGGGGAAUAUUGGACAAUGGGCGAAAGCCUGAUCCAGCCAUGCCGCGUGUGUGAAGAAGGCCUUUUGGUUGUAAAGCACUUUAAGCGAGGAGGAGGCUACUUGGAUUAAUACUCUAGGAUAGUGGACGUUACUCGCAGAAUAAGCACCGGCUAACUCUGUGCCAGCAGCCGCGGUAAUACAGAGGGUGCGAGCGUUAAUCGGAUUUACUGGGCGUAAAGCGUGCGUAGGCGGCUUUUUAAGUCGGAUGUGAAAUCCCUGAGCUUAACUUAGGAAUUGCGUUCGAUACUGGGAAGCUAGAGUAUGGGAGAGGAUGGUAGAAUUCCAGGUGUAGCGGUGAAAUGCGUAGAGAUCUGGAGGAAUACCGAUGGCGAAGGCAGCCAUCUGGCCUAAUACUGACGCUGAGGUACGAAAGCAUGGGGAGCAAACAGGAUUAGAUACCCUGGUAGUCCAUGCCGUAAACGAUGUCUACUAGCCGUUGGGGCCUUUGAGGCUUUAGUGGCGCAGCUAACGCGAUAAGUAGACCGCCUGGGGAGUACGGUCGCAAGACUAAAACUCAAAUGAAUUGACGGGGGCCCGCACAAGCGGUGGAGCAUGUGGUUUAAUUCGAUGCAACGCGAAGAACCUUACCUGGUCUUGACAUAGUAAGAACUUUCCAGAGAUGGAUUGGUGCCUUCGGGAACUUACAUACAGGUGCUGCAUGGCUGUCGUCAGCUCGUGUCGUGAGAUGUUGGGUUAAGUCCCGCAACGAGCGCAACCCUUUUCCUUAUUUGCCAGCGGGUUAAGCCGGGAACUUUAAGGAUACUGCCAGUGACAAACUGGAGGAAGGCGGGGACGACGUCAAGUCAUCAUGGCCCUUACGACCAGGGCUACACACGUGCUACAAUGGUCGGUACAAAGGGUUGCUACCUAGCGAUAGGAUGCUAAUCUCAAAAAGCCGAUCGUAGUCCGGAUUGGAGUCUGCAACUCGACUCCAUGAAGUCG